AUUGAACGCUGGCGGCAUGCCUAACACAUGCAAGUCGAGCGGAGCGGCGGACGGGUGAGUACUGCCUAGGAAUCUGCCUGGUAGUGGGGGAUACCGUCCGGAAACGGGCCCUAUUACCGCAUCCUAUCAGAUGAGCCUAGGUCGGCUUAGCUAGUUGGUGGGGGAAAGGCAUACCACGGCGACGAUCCGUAGCUGGUCCGAGAGGAUGAUCAGUCACACUGGAACUGAGACACGGUCCAGACUCCUACGGGAGGCAGCAGUGGGGAAUAUUGGACAAUGGGCGAAAGCCUGAUACAGCCAUGCCGCGUGUGUGAAGAAGGUCUUCGGAUUGUAAAGCACUUUAAGUUGGGAGGCGUUACCAACAGAAUAAGCACCGGCUAACUACGUGCCAGCAGCCGCGGUAAGUC
rnacentral:rRNA from 1 species